GUACUCACUUUAGUAGCACACAUAUUAAAAUUGGAAUAAUACAGAGAUUACCAUGGCUCUUGCAGAAGGAUGACACACAAACUGGUGGGUGUGUGUUUGUGUUU
ensembl:snRNA U6 U6 spliceosomal RNA